GCACCCGCUUGUACAAACACUUCUUUCAUAUAUAAACUUGCACAGGCCCUGGCGUUGUGGUAAGUAGCUUGCUGCAAAGAUAUCUUAUGUUUUUGUUGCAUUGACAUCUAGCAGUUGCAUUUGUAUUUUGUUACUUUCGACCUGUUAUUAUUCUAUGCAUCUUUAUUCAAGGUCCGUCCACUGAUGUGGUCUGAAGCGAAAUAGAUUCUAAUCUAUCCAGAGAUGAAGUAGAUAUUAUAUUAACUGUUACAAGCCUCAGACCGACCCGACCAAAACCUGGUGAGUACAUUUCGUACACGGAAACUGAAAGAAGAUUGUCUUAUAUAUGUGUAUGACAAUCGAUGUUGCUGUUCACUUUCCCAUUACUUAGCGGUUGGGCAAAAGACACUGAUAGAAUAAGGUCGAUUUCUUCGACCAAAGGUGGGGCUCCAGCAUGACCGCAGUCACAUGACUGAAAGAAGUAAAGUAAUAAAUAAAAAAAAAACUAUGCCAUUUUAAUCCCGAGCAAGGCCGAGUAUCUCUUUUAGGAUAUGUGUGUGUGUGUGUGUGCCUAUUUGAUGGUAAUUCUGUGAUUGUGUUUGUAUGUUGUGUGUGUGUGUGUGUGUGUGUGUGUGGCAAAAUUAUAAUAGCAUGUGUGCGCGCACACACACACACACGUGAUAUUAUAAUUCGGCCAUAAAAUUGACAGUAUUUUAAAAGAAAUUAAUUGAAUGUUGUUUAGUAAUGGAAUUGACACAACGUAGAUAGAAACCUGUUACAACACAUACAUUACCAGGUUAAGCUCUGAUCAAAGUUCAUUUACCAAAAAUAGCAUAUUUUUAGAUAACACAUUUGUUAUUCGUUUGGGCAUUUUUUUAUUAUUAAACUCUAAAAUACACCCACAAACUUUUAUAUACAUAGAUAUUUAUACACGCAUACAUAAUACUCUUUUACUCUUUUACGUGUUUCAGGCAUUUGACUGUGGUCAUGCUGGAGCAUCGCCUUUUGUCGAGGAAAUCGACCCCGGGACUUAUUCUUUUGUAAGCCCAGGACUUAUUCUGUGUAAGAUUAGUAUUUAUUCUUUCGGUCUCUUUAGCCAAACCGCUAAGUUAAGGGGACGUAAACACACCAAGCGAUGUCGGGCGGAGGUGGGGGGGCGACAAACACAGACACGCACAAACAUAUAUAUAUAUAUACAUAUGCAUAUAUACAUAAGCAUAUGUGCCGGUUGAGAGAGUAACUUGGGGAAUGGCAUUUCGAUGUUAAACAUACAUGGCAAUAAAUCUUGCAUAUCUUGUGAAGAAUGUAAUAGCUUCUAGGCUACCAUUAACCUCGAUAUGAGUGUGUAUGUUUAAGUAUAUAUUUAUAUAUAUAUAUAUAUAUAUAUAUAUUCUUUUCUUUCUUUUAUUCUUUUACUUGUUUCAGUCAUUUGACUGCGGCCAUGCUGGAGCACCGCCCUUAAUCGUGCAACUCGACCCCGGGACUUAUUCUUUUUGUAAGCCCAGUACUUAUUAUAUCGGUCUCGUUUGCCGAACCGCUAAGUAACGGGGACAUAAACACACCAGCGUCGGUUGUCAAGCAAUGCUAGGGGACAAACACAGACACACAAACACACACACGCAUAUAUAUAUAUAUAUACAUACAUACAUACAUACAUAUAUAUAUAUAUACAACGGGCUUCUUUCAGUUUCCGUCUACCAAAUCCACUCACAAGGCAUUGGUCGGCCCGGGGCUAUAGCAGAAGACACUUGCCCAAGAUGCCACGCAGUGGGACUGAACCCGUAACCAUGUGGUUGGUUAGCAAGCUACUUACCACACAGCCACGUAUGUGUGUGCGUGUGCGUCUAUGUAUGUAUGUAUGUAUGUAUGUAUGUAUGUAUGUAUGUAUGUAUGUAUGUAUGUAUACGUGUGUAUGUAUACGUGUGUAUGUAUACGUGUGUGUGAGUGUUUCUGUGUGUGUGCGUGUGUGUGAGGGUGCAUAGCCUAGUGGUUGGGGUGCUGGACUCACGAACGCGCAAUCGCGAUUUCAAGUCUUAGACUGGGUAGUGCGUUGUGUUCUUGAGCAAAACACACACUUCAUCUCACUUUGCUCUGCUAUCACUUCGACACCUGACGCGUGGCACACCACGCACCUGUUUAGGCAACGUCGAUUUGAUGGAGAGAAGUGAGCUAAUGUGCGGCACGAACAUUUGAUAACUAUAAAUGAAUCCUUUGUGAAGGUCAUUCGGCAAAAGCUGAACGUUCAUACGUCGUCUUCGACGGGAGAGUCCAUUAUAUAUAUAUAUAUAUAUAUACAUUCCCUUCAUCGUUUACUGUCUGUCUCUCUCUUUAUCAUUUUCUUUCUCUUGUUUCUCACACGUGACCAUCGUCCGUCUUUCUUUUCCUUCAGGACUGUCCUAAGGAUUGGACGUAUUCAGUCUCUCUUUUCUCUCUUUUCUCUUUUCAAAGAAAAUAUUUCUCCAACGUUCGCUAUUUUACCCUCGUCCUGGUCUUACGAUCCUCCAUGCUUGUUUUCGUUCGGUUUCCGUGUAUAUCUCCACUAUCCUGUUUUCGUUCCUAACUUUGACACCCCAUAGAUCCCAAAUUUUAUUUUGGUAUCUAUGGGAGCAACUAUCUUCGAAAACUCAUACUGUCAUUCAAUGCUCGAAACGAGGAGUAGACAAACAGCCUACAACUGAUGAAGGCUCGUUCUUUGUGUUACUUGUCCUGCUUUCCAUUUGUUUCUCUCGUUGUUUGCGUACUGAACUCAUUUGUUUUCGUAUUUCAUGUUGUUUACUGUUAGUGACGUCUUUAAUCCAUAUAUGCACAUGUGUAUAUAUAUAUAUAUAUAUAUAUAUAUAUAUAUAUAUAUAUGUGUGUGUGACAUAUAUAUAUAUAUAUGUGUGUGUGUGUAUGCUUAUGCAUAUAUAUAUCAUUUAUAUCAUACAUGCAUGUAUAUAUAUAUAUAAUUAUAUAUGUAUGUGUGUAUGUGUAUGUUUAUAUAUAUAUAUAUAUAUAUAUAUAUAUAUAUAUAUAUAUAUCAUAUUAAACACACAUUUCUAUCGAGGCUGGCCGUUGCCUAGAAGCAAUAGCAUUCUUUACAAUGUUUGUGGAAAGACCUGUAUGUAAUGGAGAACAAGUUUUGGCCCAUAAUUCCCGAUGCCGAAAGUGCUGUUCUUUUUGUAUACUCGAUCCAUCUCUUUGUUUGUUUUUUUUUAUUUUUUACACAGUUUUGGAUCUUUCGUAGGCAGAGAGACUUAAAUUAUAAAAGCUUUAUAAAUUACUGAUUUUAUAUAUUUUUAAAUAAUAGUAUUUACAUUUGUCUAAACAUGCAAUAUUUGUUGACUCAAAAAAUGUCUGUAGAUAAACAGAUGUACAAAAUCAAUACAAGGUUUAACUGGCGCUGCAUAAUGUGUAAAUAAUCCUUUCUACUAUAGGCACAAGGCCUGAAAUUUUGGGGGAGAGGACUAGUCGAUUACAUCGACCCCAGUGUUUUACUGGUACUUAAUUUAUCGACCCCGAAAUGCUGAAAGGUAAAGUCGACCACGACGGAAUUUGAACUCAGAAUGUAGAAACAGGCGAAAUACCUAUUUCUAUAUUACCCACAAGGGGCUAAACAUAGAGGGGACAAACAAGGACAGACAUAGGUAUUAAGUCGAUUACAUCGACCCCAGUGCGUAACUGGUACUUAAUUUAUCGACCCCAAAAGUCGACCUCGGCGGAAUUUGAACUCACAACGUAACGGCAGCCGAAAUACCGCUAAGUAUUUCGUCCAGCAUGCUAACGAUUCUGCCAUUGGUCAAUUUAUAUACACAUAUAAUUUAGGGAAGGAAAUUUGUCUUAUCCUGUCAUAUUUCCACUUGGGUUUUGUAUGUGUAGAAUGUAUGGGGUAUUUAUGUUUUUGUGGUUUGGAGUUCUUGAGGUAAAGAUACAAAACUGCUCCCCCAGAUAAACCCUGUAUUGUUCUUUAUUACAAAGCGAAGUAUUUGUAAUAAAGGAUAUCAAUCGUCUGGAAGCUGUUCAGCGACGUGCAACCAAAAGAAUACCCUCCAUCAGGCAUGUAUCUGACUCAUACAUUGUUCGCUUUCCAGACAUUUGUACAUUACUGCAUGUACUUUAUACGCACUUUCUGACAAGUUGUGGUGCACCUGAGCACUGGGUACAAUUAAUUUCAUUAUUAUUAUUUUAUUAUUAUUAUUUUCCAUACAGUUGAAGUGUGUCACGUUUUCAUAACGUUUUUGUGUCACUGUACAAAGAAUAAUGAGGAUGUUUCGGGGAUUGAGCACGCAUGCUGUUGCUGUACACAAGUGCAUACCGUUGCAGUUUUUUGUAUGGUUUAAUCUCACAACUGCGCUCUUUUAGCCGAUCAAUAAUCAAAGGUAUUUCAGUCAUGACCAUCCCGUCCUUUGAGCACUCCGUCGGUUACGACGAUGAGUGUUCCGGUUGAUCCGAAUCAACGGAACAGCCUGCUCGUGAAAUUAACGUGUAAGUGGCUGAGCACUCCACAGACACGUGGUGCACCCUUAACGUAGUUCUCGGGGGAUAUUCAGCGUGACACAGAGAGUGACAAGGUCGGCCCCUUUUACUUGUUUCAGUCAUUUGACUGCGGCCAUGCUGGAGCAUCGCCUGUAGUCGAGCAAAUCAACCCCAGGACUUAAUUCGUUGUCAGCCUAGUACUUAUUCUAUCGGUCUCUUUUGUCGAACUGGUCAGUUACUGGGACGUAAACACACCAGCAUUGGUCGUCAAGCGAUGUUGGGGGGGGGGGGGGUAAACACAAACAUACAAACACAUUCACACACACAUACAUACAUACAUACAUACAUACAUACAUACAUACAUAUAUACAUACACACACACACACACACACACGUAUAUAUAUAUAUAUAUAUAUAUAUAUAUAUAUUCGACGGGCUUCUUUCGGUUUCCAUCUAACAAAUCCACUCACAAGGCUUUGGUCGGCCCGAAGCUAUAGUAGAAGACACUUGCCCAAGGUGCCACGCAGUGGAACUGAAUCCGGAACCAUGUGGUUUGUAAGCAAGCUACUUACCACACAGCCUCUCCUACGCCUAUAGAAUUCAUUCAUUUAGAAUUAUAUUAUCUAAUGUGUACUUCCUUGAUUAACACAGUGAGGGUUCAUUUGAAAGACACGUGGCUGCUAUUUCUAGCAGGCCGAACAAUUAUUGCAGAGGUGCCACCGUUAACUGAUUUUAUUAGGCAAAAGAGCGAGGAGACUUGACCAGUCCAGACGGUCAACCCUUCAAUAAUUGCUUUCUUUUAGUACUUUUAGUAAUCGUUACAUACCUAAUAAAUAAGGAGCUUUCUCUAUUAUAGUAUAGAAGAAAGAUGUACGUAGGGUCGGUUUUAAACCAAUUAGACAGACUUGUUCAAAUUGAGGCUCGCGCUAAGAGAGAACCCCGUGCUAAGAGAGAACCCCGCGUACACGCUCAAGCAGAGGAUGCAAUAAUGAAUUUUAAGUAUAUCAUUGUGACUACUGGUGGAGUCUCAAACCCUCAUUGCUUUUUGGCUGGGACUGGUGUACUACAUGAAACAUAAAACAUCAAUCUUCAGCUUUUGUAGAGUAGAGGGUCCCCCUGACAAUUCUCUAAUCGGGCCCCGCCUUUCCUUGCGCCAGCACUGUAUGUAUGUCAACGAAUGUCUAUGAAUGAUAAGCGACAAUGAAUGUCUAUAAAUGACUAUAAACGUCUGUGAAUGACUAAUGAAUGUUCACGAAUGACUAAUGAAUGUUUAUGAAUGACUAAAUGCUUAUGAAUGACAAAAUGUUUACGAAUGACUAUGAAUUAUGUACAUCUAUGAAUUUCUAUCAAUGUCAAUGAAUGAUUGGAUAUUUUUGAACGACAUUCAUCCCAUCUUAUCUUGACCUCUUUUAAGCAGCCUUCUUCUUGACAUAAUCCCCAAACAUCAGAUUAACGUCCAGAAAAAUACUAAUGAGUGGAUUAACAGAUUAUUUUGGUAAUUUUGCGUAAAUUAUAGUGCAAAUAUAUUUCUUACUUUCUAUAUUUAGAACAAAGAUCGAUAAUGAAACAGUGAAAGCUCGUAACGGGUACUUCUAUGUGAUUAAUCGACCAGCUUGAAAUAGCAAUAAAAUCUUUCUUAAACCAUACACAACCAUCUUAUAAUAAGAGGAUUAGCAUAUUGGAUAGUGUAGUCCUAGGUACAUUAUAUCUAUAUAUAUAAAAAAAUGGGAUGUUUAGCUCAAGGUUGACAUCUAUAUAUAUAAAAGUGAGGUUGUGUGGUGUCUGUCUCCUACGAUUUAGAUUUCUAACUACUCCCACAUUUUGCGGUGCAGUUUAACCAAAACCGGGUAUCUUAUAGUCGUGAUUCAUAUCGAGUCCUUCUGGGUAUUAGCGCGCGUCUACGAUGAGUCUACGAUUAAAAAAAAAUUACCAUAAUUUUUUCCCAUUUUUAAUGCAUUUUUGGCAUAAGGGAAGUAACUCUCUAAAAAUGUAUUAUUAAAUCUCAGAACGUAAAAAGCUACAGUAACACCCCCCUUUGUGGUUAGCCAUAUUGAGAUGGCUAUUAUACUUUACAUCUCUAAAAAUGCUUAUAUAGUUAUUUCCCUUACAAACCCGAGCAACGCCGGGCGAUACUGCUAGUUGGUUUAUUCAACAAUAACAGCUUUAUACUCCACUUCUUAUCAUCCUGUACAACACUAACAUAUGUGUGAUCCUCCACUUGGUUAUACAACCUGCUUGAAGUAGCACCUAGAUGAGGGUGUGCUGAAAAGUUCCUGACUUGGGGGGAAAAGAAAAUAUAGGAGGAUGAGUUAAUUAUGAUUUUAUUCAGCAUAUUUCUCUAUCAGAUUCACACACUUAUUGCAGCGGUACUUCAAUUUUUCUAAGCCCUGUAAAGGAACUCGGAAAGUUGGACCUCCAACCAGGCCUUUCACAACACCCUCAAAGCUAAGAACUUUUUAGCAUCCCCUCGUAAUUCUCUCAGAUCACAUCCCACUGUGUUUUAAAAAUAAAGAACGCUUUAAAUGAUGGAUUACUAGUGGCGUUUGUGUGCUUGCUUUUAUAACUAUCCAGAAGGAUAGAUAUAUCAUUGAGAACACUAGAUUUAGUUGGUGGUCUGGUUAUCUCUAUUCUACCUUUUGGUGAAGUAGAAAGGUUAAAAAGAGUCAAGUAGUGAAGGCAUUAUUUCGGCUUAGCUAAAGGCAUCUGGAUAAUGUAAAACUGCUGUCAGAGAAAAAACUAUUGUUCCACCGUGAGGAAAGUUCUGUUGCGGUGUUAAUUUAAAUUUGGCUAUGGUGGAUCGAAUCCACUUCAUGCAUGCAAGAUCCACUACAGAGUUUAUAAAUGUUUCUAUUUUUAUUUUUAUUUUGAUGCAUAAAUUCAUAUUUCUUCAUAAUUUUGAUACGUAGGCGCAGGUGUGGCUGUGUGGUAAGAAACUUGCUUCCCACCCACAUGGUUCCAGGUUCAGUCCCACUUGCGUGGCACAUUGGGCAAGUAAAAGAAUAGAAAAAAUAUCAAAGAAUAACGUUAAUGAUCUUGAUUAUGUUUUCGAUAGGCGUAGGAGUGGCUGUGUGGUAAGUAGCUUGCUUACGAACCACAUGAUCACGGGUUCAGUCCCACUGUGUGGCAACUUGGGCAAGUGUCUUCUAUUACAGCCUCGGGCCGACCAAAGCCUUGUGAGGGGAUUUGGUAGACGGAAACUGAAAGAAGCCUGUCGUAUAUAUAUAUAUAUAUAUAUAUAUAUAUAUAUAUAGAUACAUAUAUAUAUAUAUAUAUAUAUAUAUAUAUAUAUAUAUAUAUGUGUGUGUGUGUGUGUGUGUGUGUGUGUGUGUGUGUGUGUGUGUGUGUGUGUGUGUGUGUGUGUGCAUGUGUGUCUGUGUUUGUCCCCCGAUGCUGGUGUGUUUAUGUCCCCGUAACUUAGCGUUUCGGCAAAAGAGAACGAUAGAAUAAGUACUAAGCUUACAAAGAAUAUGUCCUGGGGUCGAUUUGCUCGACUAAAGGCAGUGCUCCAGCGUGGCCACAGUCAAAUGACUGAAACAAGUAAAAGAAUAAAAGAGGUGUCGUUCCAAGGUUAAGGUCGUUUUGAAACGUAACAGUCGAACACAUGGUGUGAUGCACUGGAUAAUAUAGAUUCUAUGCAAUAGCUAUACAAUAUACAUACAAUUGAAUGACUACGAAUUAUGCACAUCAAUGACUUUCUAUCAAUGUCUAUGAAUGAUUGAAUAUUUUUGAACGACAUUCAUUCCAUACUAUUUUGACCUCAAGUCAUAAGAAAUUCCGUUGCGAAUAUUUUUGAACGACUUUCAUCCCAUACUAUUUUGACCUCAAGUCAUAUGAAAUUCCAUUGCGAAUGAAAUGGUCAUUGAACCAGUAUUGAACCAGGAUAAGAUGGACUGGACAAGUUCGUGACUGCAUUCCUGUCAAACAGUUUAUGACAAAAAGCCAUGACUAAGAGAUGUAGAUGUGACGCAGAAUAAACCUGAGCUGGAUCGUGCACGGCAAUCUAUACAUUAUAAGGAAAAACAAUUUGAAAAGAAUCGCACACAAUGAGUGCGUACCUACAGUGCGUACUCGCGGCCCAGAAAGUUGGUCGUUGACCUUACGCAGUUACAAAAAGGAAUCGCCACCCAAAACACCACCUUCAACAUAACUGACAAGACGAGUAAGCAACUAAGUAAAGCUAAAGACCUCAAUGUAUGAGAAGUGAAAAUGCUGUUAGCCGAGCGCGAACUUCCAAGUUACAUCUCGGUGCUAAAGCGGGGUCCUUACUAAUUUUCUGGCCAUAAUCAGAAUUAGCAACGACAACUUGUCUUCGACUGAACUCAGGACUUAUAGAGUAAAAGAAAUAAAAUGUUGUGGCGUGCAUUCCGUAUCCUAGAAUUGUUUGUAGUGUUGGGAAAAUAAAAUUGGUUUAAACCUGUAAAAAUAUAUCAAGUUGGAAUUCCGGUUUAAGCAUCCCAUAUAACCCUUCAUAACUUAAAAAAAAUUAUUUUUGGUAUUUUCAGAAAAUUUUUGCGAAUUUGUCUUCUACACACGGGAAUUCGUGCGAUUAUGAAACAAAAAUUUUUUCCUUGACUUUUCACCCCCAUCCAAAUCCUAAAAGUUCCACUCUUUUCCGAAUUUUUUUUAAAAAUCAGAGUUUAAAAUACGGACAAUCCGAAUUUUUUGCGUAAAUCCCGGCAAUGGACCGCUCUUGGGUACAUCAAUAUUCCAUAAAAUAUAUUUAUAGGGAGAAUAAUAUUGAAAAACAUCAAUACAUAGGCGCAGGAGUGGCUGUGUGGUAAGUAGCUUGCUAACCAACCACAUGGUUCCGGGUUCAGUCCCACUGCGUGGCAUCUUGGGCAAGUGUCUUCUGCUAUAGCCCCGGGCCGACCAAUGCCUUGUGAGUGGAUUUGGUAGACGGAAACUGAAAGAAGCCUGUCGUAUAUAUGUAUAUAUAUAUAUAUAUGUGUGUGUGUGUGUGUGUGUGUUUGUGUGUCUGUGUUUGUCCUCCUAGCAUUGCUUGACAACCGAUGCUGGUGUGUUUACGUUGGCAAAAAGAGACCGAUAGAAUAAGUACUGGGCUUACAAAAAGAAUAAGUCCCGGGGUCGAUUUGCUCGACUAAAGGCGGUGCUCCAGCAUGGCCGCAGUCAAAAUGACUGAAACAAGUAGAAAAAGAAAAAAAAAAUGUCAAAGUGACAAGGAAAUGAAACAGGUAUCAGAUGGUUUAAGCACCCCCAUAUAAUCCCUUUAUAACAUUAACAAAUUUUUUUGGGGGGUAGGGGUAUUUUCAGAAAAUUAUUGCAAAUUUGUUCUACACGUGAGAAUUCGCACGAUUAUGACCUCAAUCCAAAUAUACAUGAGGUGUUUCUUGGUGACUCUAUAUCACAGAAUCUUGGAAGUCGAACGUGGUUUGAAUAUUGGGGUCUGACCUAUAUGGUUGCGAAUCGUGCUUUACAGCACAUCAACUAUCGUAUUACUCACCUGACUAAAUCCGGAACCACGUGGUUGGGAAGCAAGCUGCUUCUUCUUACCACACAGUCACGACUGCGCCAUAUGUGUGUAUGUGUGUAUAUAUAUACAUAUAUAUAUAUAUGGGAUGGACAAACACAGACACAAAGACUCACAUAAAUACACACAUACAUACAUACACACACACACACACACACACACACACAUACAUAUAUAUAUAUAUAUAUAUAUAUAUAUAUAUAUAUAUAUAUAUAUAUAUAAACGGCAGUUUGUCUGUCUGUGUGUCUGUGUGUCUGUGAGUUUGUAUCCUCACCCUGACCACGGCUUUCAACCGAUUCUGAUGAAACGUGAGACACACAUAGCCCAAUGUCAUAAUUCGAAACUAACGUAGUGAAAAUUUUGAAAAGUUCCCCCAGUUCUGAAAAAAUCGAUAAAUUCGACAUGGGGUCGAGAAUCUAAACUUUUUAUAUGCAACACAUUUUCUGUUGUAGUUUUCGCAACUUGGAAUCGAUUUUCACCAAACUCAUGGUGAAGCUUAAUGUUACCCUAAGAAACUUAAUUCUGACGUUAGUUUUCGAUGCAAUACCUUACCAUCAGAAAAAAAAUCGAUAAAAUCAUGCCAUUUUGGGAAAUCGCGUUCAAAUUCAAGAUGACAUAUUUUCGACAAUAUCUUUCACAAAUUGGCAGGAAUUUUUUUUAAAAUUCACAGCGAGCAUCAUGUCUGCUCCAAGGAGCUAUAUGGCCCUUUUUAUUCCAAUAGGAUACUUUAUUACUGGAAAAAAUCGGUUAAUUAAAUCAUAUGUGGCACACAUAUUAAACACAAACAACAGACUGUCUAGGGGACGCAACUCGACCUUUUUAACUCUCUUGGGAGGCGCAAUGAUGUUUUCAUGUUUUCGCCCAAAGGGACACCUAGGAACAUCGUAUACACAGAAGUAUUCGAGUGAAGAGAAGACAUUGCAACCUACACAUGCGCCUUCGUUCCCUAGAGGGAAAGGACUAGAUAGGGAUUAGUCGUUGCCUACUAGGGGCUCUUACAUACCCGGGCAACGCCGGACUAUGCUGCUAGUAUAUAUAUACGAUGGCCUUCUUUCAGUUUCCGACUUCGGUCGCCCCGAGGCUAUAGUAGAAGACACUUGCCCAAUGUGCCGCGCAGUGGGACUGAACCCGGAAGCCUGUGGUUGGGAAGUAAGCUUCUUACCACACAGCCACGCCCGCGGCUAUGUAUAUAUGUAUAUAUGUAUAUGUAUAUAUGUAUAUGUAUAUAUGUAUAUGUAUAUAUAUAUAUAUAUAUAUAUAUAUAUAUAUAUAUAUAUAUAUAUAUAUAUAUAUAUGUAUGUAUAUAUAUAUAUAUAUAUAUAUAUGUGUAUGUAUAUAUGUAUAGAUACAAUAUAUAGAUAAAUGUGUCGCGUGUGUACCGUUGGCGAUUUUUUUUCCUCCGACUUCCCUUCUCUGGAUCUUUCCUUUUCCUAUGUUUCUGACGAAGAGCUCCGCUCGAAACGUAAAACCCUCCUUCUUCCCUUCCUCACUGAGCGUCCAAUAAUACUAUAUUUGUUCCACGUCCUCGCGUUGUUGUGUUUUCUCUUUGUGUUUUCAUGUUUGGAUUAACUAUAUAUAUAUAUAUAUAUAUAUAUAUAUAUAUAUAUAUAAUAUAUAUAUAUAUAUAUAUAUAUAUAUAUAUAUAUAUAUAUAUAUAUAUGUAUGUAUAUAUGUAUAUAUGUAUAAAUAUAUAUAAAUGUAUAUAUGUAUAUAUAUAUAUAUAUAUAUAUAUAGAUAGAUAUAUAUAUAUCAUAUAUAUAUGUUACACACGCAUACACAUUUGAAGUGGGUGUUUGCGAGUGUCUAUAUAUAUAUGUAUUUAUAUCUGAACGAAUUCGCACGCGCACUUUAACGCGCACAUAUACACGCACAAUUGCACAAACACACACCCAACACCCACCCACCCACCCACACACACACACACAAAAUAUCUUAAUGAGGGUCGAAUUUUGGAGGUCAGAGAACUGAAAAAAUACAUGACACUGAUUGCUUUAUCGAGGUCAUUAUUGACGUAAUUAACACAGAUAACGAAUUUGUUUUUUUUUUAUUGAUGUUUUAUUUAUUUUAAUUGCUUGUUGUUUUUUUUUUUGUUUUUUUUCUUCUUUUCUCACUUGUUUAUUUGCAUCGUACCAUCCUUUCGUGGUUUCUCUUAAUCUAACCCUUUCUACUUGCAAGAAUUAUCACGAUGUUUUUUCUUUAAGCCAUAUUCAAGCAAAUUUUCAAAGUACCGGGGACGUAAACACACCAGCAUCGGUAGUCAAACGAUGUUGGUGGCGAGUGGGGUGGGGGGACAAACAUAGACACACAAACACACACACAUAUGUGUACAUAUAUAUAUAUACAUAUACAUAUAUACGACGAGCUUCUUUCAGUUUCCGUCUACUAAAUCCACUCACAAGGCUUUGGUCGGCCCGAUGUUGGUGGCGGGUGGGGGGACAAACAUAGACACACAAACACAUACACAUAUGUGUACAUAUAUAUACAUAUACAUAUAUACGACGGGCUUCUUUCAGUUUCCGUCUACUAAAUCCACUCACAAGGCUUUGGUCGGCCCGAUGUUGGUGGCGGGUGGGGGGAC
rnacentral:lncRNA from 1 species